rnacentral:rRNA from 1 species
AAUAUUGCACAAUGGGGGAAACCCUGAUGCAGCGACGCCGCGUGAGCGAAGAAGGCCUUCGGGUCGUAAAGCUCUGUCCUAAGGGAAGAAACGGACGGUACCUUAGGAGGAAGCCCCGGCUAACUAAGUGCUAGCAUCCGCGGUAAUACGUAGGGGGCAAGCGUUAUCCGGAAUCAUUGGGCGUAAAGAGUGCGUAGGCGGCCCUAUAGGUCAGAGGUCAAAGGCGACGGCUCAACCGUAGUAAGCCUUUGAAACUGUAGGGCUUGAGUGCAGGAGAGGAGAGUGGAAUUCCUAGUGUAGCGGUGAAAUGCGUAGAUAUUAGGAGGAACACCAGUGGCGAAGGCGACUCUCUGGACUGCAACUGACGCUGAGGCACGAAAGCGUGGGGAGCGAACAGG